rnacentral:tRNA from 1 species
CGGGACGUAGCGCAGCUUGGUAGCGCACUUGAUUUGGGAUCAAGGGGUCGCAGGUUCAAAUCCUGUCGUCCCGACCA